UAAUUUUAUGGAUGACAUCCGCGCGCGCAUUGAUUUUCGCUUGUUCUCCAAAAAAAAAAAAAAAAAAUCAUGUCUUUUGAGGCUUCACGGAACUCCGGAACUCGGCUGGAACUCGGUACAGACUGCCGACUCAUGAAUGCCGCAAAAGGACGGCUUAUCGUAAAACUUCUUUUGUACUACCGCAAAACGUAAAUUUUGUCGUAAAUGAACCCUUUGCACAUGCGUACUAGCUACACUAACAAUGUAGAGCGCGAAGUUUGCAAGAGAUGGCGGGGCAGCGUCGUCCUCAAAGUACGUCAAACUGGAGGCGUUGUUGUCGACUGGUAUGCCAUCGACAUUGGCGAGGGGGAUGUAACGUUUGCCCAGCUUUACGAGCGACUCGUGGCAGCCAGCGAGUAUCGCCCGGACAGACGUCCUUUCCAGAGCGGCCACCACACGUUUGAGAGAAAAUGGGAGCUGUGUUGAGGUGGCCUUUAAAGUGGGUCAGGCCACUUCUCAGUGCAGUUCGGCUGUUUUGUCCGUAUUGUUGUUGACAAAACUGCAACAACUAAAGCCAAAGAUUGUCAGCAGAAGUCAGCUUUUGAGGGGCCCUGGGCUCUUUCAUGUAGUGCACCAGUGGAGGUGUACUCUGCGCGAGUCAAGUCUAGGGCACUGGCCAUUCUGCCACUGGUAUGCUGGCAGUGUGGGGAAACAGACACGCUUCCCAUCCCUCCAGAGAAACUGCAGUGUUUCAGAGCAUUCAUCCAGUGUGCCAGGUUUGCAAAGCCACUCGUGUUGAAGAGCGUACAAGAGUAAAGAGA